GUGUUAUGUGAAAAGAGGGAAGGUCAGCACUUCUCUUGAAAAGGAUGGAAGAAGGCCUUUGGCCUAUACAACAUGCAUAUAGUUAAGGCAUUGCUACCUGCUUCACGGAAUCUAACCAUCAUUUUUA
rnacentral:ncRNA from 1 species